GCCGGAGCAACGCCAUCUCCGUUUCUGUCAUCGGGCUGUGGGAGGCUGUGGUGUGGCAGCGCUUCGGCCAGCGCGGCAGGCUGGGGGACAUCGGUGUCUCCUUCCCAGGUCCAGCUGCUGAUUGUGCCUGGAGAGCCAGGGCAGAGGCAAGGUGGAACCCUCUGGGCUGCUCACAUCAUCAGCUUCAGUCUCUGGAAAGACAGGUCAUUCAUUGCUGAGCAUGUCUUAGGUCUGUAAUGCCACCUGAGUCACUUCAGGACCUCAUGAUGUGUGGAUGGCAAGAACCUAGACACAUCCCACGCAGCCAGGUGGGGAAACCAAGGCUAGGGUGGAGAGUGGACUUGCAUGGAAGAAGCUGAGAAGUCCCUCCAAGCUGGCCUCCUGGCAAUGGGAGCAGAGCCAUUGGAGCAGAUGAAGAAUGUCAACAUCCCCUCUGCUGACUGGGGUUCCGAAGAAUCCUUAGAAUAAGCCUAAGCCCUGAGCUGAGCAAUUCAAGUUACCAGAGACAGGAUAGUGCCAGCAAUUGACCAGCAGGAUCCCCAGAGGCAGGUAGCCCUCCGCUGUGUGACCCUGGGUGACUCGCUGUCUGCAUUUGUCAUCAACGAGGCACUAGGCAGAGACCCUCCUCACAGCACUGACUGCCCAAGGGAGGACAUGCACAGAUUAGCAAGCAGCAACUGUCCAGCAGAGUAUGUUAUUCGGCUGCCGAAAGGGAUGGGAAUGACAGCAGGGAAAGGAAUGAAGUCCCAUCAUGUGUGACGAUGUAGAUAAACCACUGAAGGGCUAUGCUGUGAAAAACCCGACGCAAGAAUUCUGUGUGUCUGAGUCCGGUGGGUGCAGUAUGCAGACCAGGGGAGAAGCGGUCACCCAGCCCAGCCACGGCUGUGCCCAUCACCCUGCUCUGGCGAGCACACUUGCAUGAGAUGCACCAAAUGAACUUGGAGGUUCUCAUGCCCCAGGAUACAGAAAAGCGUAAGCUUGCCAAGAUCCUGCCCGUCACGGACGACGCGAUCCCGAAAAGCCACUGAAGGAGGAAGUAUGGGGACAGCUUUAAUAGACCAAACACAUCUAGGGGAGAAUGAGGAAGGCCAUCCAGGACAGAGGAACAGCACAGACAAAGGCAUGGAGGUCUGAAAAUACAGGCUGAACUUCAAGGAGAGCUGAGGGCCUGGCCCCUGAGUGUCACACACAGGCAGUGAGGUCCUGACAGCCGUCACUGGGCAGCAGUGGAAGCUGGUGAACAUGCUAGCCGUAUGAACUAUGUCCUGACCCGGGAGGGAGAGCCUCUCUAUAACUAAGGCCCGCCAAGGACUGGAACAUUGAGCUAAAGGUCCCCACAUGCCCCAGAGAAACUGCACCCCAUCCCCAGGAAGCACCAAACACUGCUUUUCUGUGCCCUUGCCUCCCCCAACCUGACACCCAUACAGCCCCGUCCUCCAUGUCCUAACACACUCCAGGGACUCUGUUUAGCUGCUCACUAGGCAUUCCCCUCUUCUCCGCUGCUCUACACAAGCAGGGUGUGUGUGUGUGUGUGUGUGUGUGUGUG